AUUCCUGAGCCAUGAGCGUGGGGCUCUUUGUUUGCCCACUCCUUAUAAGGAGCGAGUUAUCAUCAGUUCUGCAGAAAGGUCACUGCUAUUUCUCUCUCCACAAGUGGCUGAAAUCAGCUUUUUUCCUCAGAGGGGUGGGGCAGUGAUUAAAAGACUAACUAUGCCAGCACUUCACAUGUCCGGCUAUGAGGAUGUUUACAGACCUUGCAACAGAGCUGGGGUUUCUGUCUGAUCCUAGGGACUCUCAGAAGACGCAUUUGGGGAGUCUCCCCUGUGCCCCAGAGGAAGGUCAGCCAAAAGUGUCAUGUCUGCAGCCUGUCGUCAGUCACAAAAGUUGGCCUGGCACCACUCCCUGCUCUUGCACAGUCUGCCACCAUGUGAUACCUUCUACCAUGCUGUGAUUUAGCCAGAAAACCCUCACCAGCAGCCAAACAAAUGGGUUCUGCUUGAUCCUGGACUUUCAGUCUCCAAAAUUUCGAAUUGAGCGAUUUCAUCUUUGAAAGAGUUAUUUGUUUACUCAAGACAAGCCAGAACUAUAUGAUUUCCAGGAAAAUGUCAUCCAAGAAUUGUGAACUUUGGAAGAAACUGAAACCACAUUUGUCUUUUAAAAGGCACUUAAUAAACUUACAAAUGAAAUGCUAAACAUUCUAUUUCACAUUAAAAUGAAAAAAUAUCCAAAAGAAGUAGCAUCCAAUUCAAUGAGGUGAACAUACAUGAUGAAGAUCAUUUGAUUCUGCUGCACUCAGGAUUUAUAUGGUUAUUUGAUAACAUUGUUUAAGAACUACUCGGUCUUAGUGCAAUCCUGUAUGUUGCUUAAAAAUAUAACUUGUAUUAUGUGAGAAAAUAAUUCAUAGCAUUACUAGGAACCAAAAAGAUCAAUCAUUAUUAAUUUUUUGAAGAUCAUAUUUUAUUAGAAAAUAGUAAAGCACGUACAGUUAUUUUUGUUGUAGAAAAGAUUCUGAAAGUUUAGAAUUUCUUAAGAAAUAAUCAAUAUUAAAACAUUUUUGUCCACACUGAUACUGCGUAUGAAAAGUGCCUUAAUUAUUAGUAAGUCAAUUUAUUAAGACACCUGUAUCUAUUUUAAAAAUUAUAAAACAAACCAUGUAUCCAUCAUGAAAAAUAAUAGCAGUAAGUCAGAGAUUUACAAUCAUGUAGAAUGUUGUUGAAACUUAUUCCAUACCAUUUUUAGAACUGCAGAAUAUUCUUAUUAUCUCUUUUUUUGCCAGAAUCGUCAUGUCAUGUAUGUAUAUUAUCCCUCUAUAAAAGAAAAAGAUGAAUGAAUAUUUGUAUGAAUACUUAAUAAAAAAUAAAUGUGGAAUUGGC